rnacentral:lncRNA from 1 species
UGAAUAUUCAUUGAGACGAAGUAUGGUAUUAAGUGAAGGAAAGGGGAAUUUUAGGAAAAAGAUCUUUUUUUUAGAUCUUUUUUCCCUUACUCUUUAAUAUCAUCGUAAUUUUUUUGCUAUCACUCUAGAUCGUAUAUAAAAUAGUUGUAUAUUUAGAUUCCCCUAUUCUAUUCCCAAAGUUAAGUAAUUCUCUUGAGCCACCCACCAUAUUUAUACAUUGCUUUGGGCUAAGCUAAAUAAGACUAUUUCAAUGAUGGCCCUCCAUGGAUUCACCUNNNN